CGGACGGGGGAGUAAUGUCUGGGAAACUGCCCGAUGGAGGGGGGUAACUACUGGAAACGGUAGCUAAUACAGCAUAACGUCGCAAGACCAAAGAGGGGGACCUUCGGGCCUCUUGCCAUCGGAUGUGCCCAGAUGGGAUUAGCUAGUAGGUGGGGUAACGGCUCACCUAGGCGACGAUCCCUAGCUGGUCUGAGAGGAUGACCAGCCACACUGGAACUGAGACACGGUCCAG
rnacentral:rRNA from 1 species